UUUUUUUUUUUUUUUUUUUUUUUUUUUUGCUUUUUAGGGCCACACCCACGGCAUAUGGAGGUUCCCAGUCUAGGGGUCCAAUCAGAGCUACAGCUGCUGGCCUACACCACAGCUACAGCAAUGCCAGAUCGGAGCCACAUCUGUGACCUAUGCCACAGCUCAUGGCAACACCAGAUUCUUAACUCCCUGAGCAAGGCCAGGGACCAAACCCACAAUCUUGGGGUUCCUAGUCAGAAUGUUUCCGCUGUGCCACAACGGGAACUCCCCAGGAAUUUGUUUUAAUGAAACACUCACAUAAGUUUGUUAAGAAAUAUGCAACCCCAUCAAUUUAGCCUUGUCCUGAAUUCGUUGUGUUUUUUUGUUUGUUUUUGAUUUUUCUUUUUAGGGCCACUCCCACGGCAUAUGGAAGUUCCCAGGCUAGGGAUCGAAUCAGAGCUGCAGCUGCUGGUCUAUACCACAGCCACAGCAAUGCCAGAUCCAAGGGCAUCUGUAACCUACAUCAUAGUUUGUAGCAACGCUGGAUCCUCAGCCCAUUGAGAGAGGGCAGGGAUUGAACACGUAUCAUCGUGGAUACUGGUUGGGUUCUUAAUCUGCUGGGCCACAAUUCGAACUCCAAUUUAGCCUUGUCUUGGAGUGAAAAGUUGGAGGGUACCAAGGACUCACAGUAUGGGGACUAGUGGAGAAAAGUGAGACAGAGCCAGAUAGUCAUGUACACUGUAGUGCCUCUGGUAAAUUAAUGACAUGGUUCUGCAUUUCCUCAUGUGGAAGGAGGUCUGACAGCUCAUUCAUCCUACACACUUUCUUGGGCACCUGCUAUGUUCCAGUAUCUGUUCUAGGCAAAGGAUGCAGCAGUGAAGAAAGGAGACAAUGUCCUUGCCCCCAUGAAGCUUCCAUUCUAAUGGGAAAGAUUUUCACAAACAAAUAAAUACAUAUUAUCACAUAAUAACAUAUCCAUUAGGUUAAAAAAAAAAAAGCAAGGAGCAUGGGGAAGUCACUUCGGAAAACAGUUUGGCAGUUUCUUAUAAGGUUAAAUAGAUAUUUACCAAUAUACCUUUGGUCCGGCCAUCCCACUCCUGGGUAUUUACCCAAGAGAAAUGCAAAUUUAUAGUCACCCUAGAACCUGUGUGUGUAUGUUUAUAGUGACUUUAUUUGUAAUCACCCCCAAAGUGAAAACAACCUGAAUGUCCUUCAACUGAUGAACGGGCAAACAAAAUAUGGUACACAGUGGAAUAUUAUACACCAAUAAAAAGGAAUGGGCCACUGCUUCAUAUGACAACAUGGAGGAACGUCAAAUGCAUUAUGUUUUGUGGAAAGCUACAUACCCUGUAAUUUCAUUUUAUGUGACAUUCUGGUAAAGGCAGAAUAUAGGGACAGAGAAUAGAUUAAUCAUUUCUGGGAACUAGGGUUGAAGGAAGGGGUUGAUUACAACAGGGCACAAGGGAAUUUGGGAGGGUAUUGAAACUGUCCUAAGUCUUUGUUGUGGUGAUGCCUACACAGCUGUAGAUGUUUGGUCAAGACUCCUAAUUCUACAUUAAAAACAGUGAAUUUUACUAUAAGUAGAUUAUAUACCUCAGUAAACCCUAUUAAGGAAAAAAAGCAAAGUACAAGUUCUGUAUACAGUAUAAUCCCAUUUUUGUAAGUAAUAAGAAUAAUAAAAGAUGUUAGAUUGUGCUUAGGGAAAAAAAAAUUAGUUGAAUAUCCAGUACGUUGAAUUGUUAACAGUAAGUUAUCUGGGUUGGGGAAAGGGGUGUUUCAUUUUCUAAAUUACACAUUUCUUUGAUGUUUGAAUAUUUUAUGGGGCAUGUGUUACUUUCAAAAUUACAGGGGACAACGGAUUGUAAUACAAAAGUUAACCUUCAGUGCUGGUCAGGCUACUGUGGCCAGGUGCAGAACUCAUUUGAGAUGCUCAGGCUACAUCACUGAUCCUAAUUCUGGCUCUGGAGGGCAAUUGUCCACUCAGGCUGUUGGUGACAACAGGCAAGGAAGGGCUGCUCCCCCCUCUAUGCUGCUACUGGGGGGAGUGGGCCCUUCAGUAGUUCUCACGGGACUGGUUUUUGUGGACAGAGGUGGAGUGAGGCUUAGGGCUGACAAGGCUUUUGUCUUCCUGCCAUAGAGAGAAGCUGUCUGUGGCCCAAGGUGGUUUAACACCUCUGAUAAUAAACCCAACAUUGAUUGACACUUGCUCUGUGCCAGACACUGGCCAAGGACUUACUGCUUAGUAUUAUUUUGUAAUUCCUUCAUUUAACAAACAUUUGUGGGAUACUUUUUUUUUUUUUACAUUUUGCUUUUGUUUUUGGCCACACCUGCGGCAUGUGGAAGUUCCUGGGUCAGGUAUCAUACCCCUUGGCACAAUAGCGACCUCAGCCCCUGCAGUGAUAACACCGGAUCCUUAACCUGCUGACCCACAUGGGAAGCCACAAACACUUGUUAAACACCAACAAUAUUCUAGGCACUGGGGAUAUGAUAGCGAUCAAAGAGGAGGAAGAAAAAAGCCCUUAUGUUCCAUCCCCCUUAUAUUCUAAUAGGGAAAGGGGGAGACAAGCACAAAUAUGUGAGAACAGAUACAUAUCAGAGGAUUUUAUUUUUUUAUUUUUAUUUGUCUUUUUGCCAUUUCUUGGGCCACUCCCGCUGCAUAUGGAGGUUCCUAGGCUAGGGGUCAAAUCAGGGCUGUAGCUGCUGGCCUAUGCCAGAACCACGGCAAUGCAGGAUCCAAGCCGCAUCUGCGACUUACACCACAGCUCCCGGCAACACCGGAUCCUUAAUCCACUGAGCAAGGCCAGGGAUUGAACCCGCAAACUCAUGGUUCCUAGUCGGAUUCGUUAACCACUGAGCCAUGACGGGAACUCCUGUCAGAGGAUUUUUAGAUGCUAAGAGAAAACUGAACAGAGUGAGGGUGCAAGAGGGAGGGAUUGGGGCAUACUGCUUUAGGUGCAGUGGUCCAAAAGGGUCUUUCCAAUUUGGGGGCCAUCUGACCCAAGGGGAGGAGGGGCCUGCCAGGGCCAGGGCUCUGAGGCUGAGUGUGUGAGCAGAGCCAGAGGGAGGUCAUGGUCCUGCAGCAGAGUGUGCGGGGGGGACACCUGCAAAGGAGCAAGAGGCCACAUGACCCAGGGCCCCCACAGGUGGCAACAAAGUGUUUGGCUUUAACUUUGAAGGAGAUGGGAAUCAUGGAAGGGUUUAGAGCAGAGGAGUGACAUAGGUUUGAUUAGGAUCCCUCUGACUGCUCUGCAGGAAAGAGGACACAGUGGGAGUGGGGCAGGAGUGAGAUCAUCAGAGAGACAAGUGGCUUAGGCUUGGGGUGGCACAUUCUGGAUAUUUUCAUUUCACCCUUCACUUUUCCCAUCUGCAAAAUGGAACAAUAAUAGUAUCUCCCUCACGGGAAAAUUAAACAAUUCCAUGGUGUAAACUAUCUGGCCCUGUGCCUGGUGCAUGGGAAAUGCUCAAUAAAUAUGUCUGUGCUUAUUAUUAUAGUUAUUAUUAUUAUUAUUGUUAUUGCUACUACUACUGUUGUUGUUGUUGUUACCAACCUCCUUAUGAUGCCAGGAUAAUUAUGCACGCAUGAUGGAUGAGAAGAGUGAGGCUCAUAGGGUUGAGGCUGCUUCUUCAAGAGCAGGUGGCUGGUAAGUAGUGGAACUAUACUGUUCCAGGACCCUGCAGAACAUUUAUGGGGAGGCACACUUGGCCCGUGUGGAGACGGGAAGCCCAGAAUAAAGGGCAGAGGGUGUCUAAGCAAGUGGGAACCCUCUAACCUCAUCUUAUUUCAGAAGGCAGCAGUGGUCAAGCUUCAGAUCCUCCCUGGCACUUCCAAGCUGUGUGACCUUAGGCAAGUCAGCUCACCUCUCUGAGCCUCAGCUGUCUCAUUUGUAAGAUGAGGACUGUGAUAGGACCUACCCCAUGAGAUAGUUGUGACAAUUAGACACCUGGCAGAAAAUGAGCUGCCUAAACACAUUCAGAAAGCAGCCCCUCCUGAUGCUACAGUAAAGAGGGGGUAAUUGAGUAUAUAUGGUUGAUGGAAUGUCUUGUUGGUAGCACCCACCACACAGCUCUGUUAGGGAGGAGAAAGCCGUACUUCUGUUGGGAUCUUGAGAUGUGGCUGAUUAGAUUAUAUUGAACAGGCUCAUUAGGGUGCACUUGCUAUGGGAACAGUGACCUCUUCAUCAAACCACAAACACAGAACAUUGCAAAGGUGUUUUUUGAGUUUGAGUUAUUGUAUGAUUAACAUGAAGUAAAGUCUGCUUGUUGGAAAGUCACUUUAAGGGUCUAUUCUUUUUUUUUUUUUUAAUGUGAGGGAAUAUUUGCCUAGGUAUUUUUGGUGGAAUGUAAAGAAGGGGCUUCUCUGUUCAGUAAGCGUUGUGAAAUGCUGGUAGAAAAUCCCCAUAACACAACUUGCUAACAUUUACAGAAGCUGUUGUGAUUAAGUGGGAACCAAGCUACAGAAAAAUCUACAACAAGAAGUCAGCAAAGUAAGAUCAAGAGACUAUAAAGUAAACAAUAUAUAGAGAAUGAAAAGUAAUUUAUUUCCUUGGGGAAGCGAUCUGUACCGACAGCAGCAACAGAGUGACUCUGUAGAUGUACUCCAUUUCCAUCCGCGGGAGAUGAUUGCAGUCAGCACAUUUGAAAAUUGAGAAAUUGUGUACGCAAUUUGAAAAACCAACUGAUUAUAACUCACCAGUGUGCUAAGAGGUCAGUGGCCCAUUUCAAAAAGGAAAAACUGAGACUCAAGUGGGAGAGAAGAGUUGCUUGCCUCAUCCUUGCUGAGACACCAUAACCCAGAUGACCAGGAGAGCCCAGUGAGCCUGUCACUGGGCCAUGUGAAGACAAGGUGAUGACUCAUCUCUCACAUGUGGCUUUUUUUUGGCCUCCGAGUUGUUGCCUGAGUAAGGACUGUGCUCUUUCCCAGGGUUGCUUUCAAAUAAAACGACCUGUUGCAGAAAGCAAGAGCUGCCUACCCCCACCCCCACCCCCCCAGGCAGGAACCCAGCCAGCAGGGAGCUGACACACCUGUGCUAGGGAGCAGGCAAAGUGUCCUCCAGGCUGGGAACUUAAAGUGCCUGACAGUUUGGAAGGAACUGGUAUGGGUAUGGUCCCUGCAGCAUGGGGUCCUUUGUCUAACAUGCUAGGACCGGGAUGUCACUUCUCCAAGAGUAGUAUCACACAGCUGGUGUGGCUCAAUCAGUUGCCUUCUCUCCCAUCUAGCCCCUGAUUUAGGCCACUGGUGAAAAGACAUUUGUCUUCCUUACAAACCUCUGGACGCUUGGGUCUGGCCCGGAGCACAGAAAGCAGAAAGGGUGAGAUGUGCUGGCAGAAUUGCCAGAAGAGUUGGCAUCUCCCCUCCCAGAGCACAGCCUGGCUCAGGGCCACCCGAGAAGGCCGUUUCUUUUAUGAGCAUUGAAUUCACACUUGCACAGCCCUGGAGAGGAAAAGUUACAGAAUCCACCGUGUGAACACCCUCUUCCCUUAAAGAUAAUUUUGAGUUGGCUGUUAUGAGUGAGGCCGUUCAGAUUCUAAGAGCGUGUGUGUGUGUGUGUGUGUGUGUGUAUGUGUGUCCAUCCAGAGGAAACAGAAUUUAGUUGCAUGUGAUAUAUUUCACCACCUGCUGUGACCAUAGCCUGCAGCAUAUAAACUUAGUAGAGGCUGAAAAUUUAUGACUAUAGUCACUUGUCUUUGGUCAAGUGUCAGUGU
rnacentral:lncRNA from 1 species